UCACUGGAGAACCUUUUGACACGGAGAACCCUGUUUUCUUUGUGUGCAGUCUACUUUUCUGGUGAUUCAUGCCCUCAGUUACCAUUCACACCCUUCACAGAUGGCAUGUGCCGAGAUAUGAGCAGUGAGGGUCGGAGCAGGGACACAUAUGGUGUGACUGAGUGGGAUGAUUCACUGACCCCGGUGCCUGUGAGCAAGGUGACUAUGGAUCACUUGGGAAAUGGACGGUUGAACUUUCCUCUAUGUUUACUUAUGAAAUAUCCUUGAACGCAGUUAUCAGACAGACUGAUAUGAAGCUCAGCAAGAGGAGAGGAAAUCAGGGCUGUAGUGAAACGUGACCAGAAUAGAUUUUUGGACAUUUGAAACCGCUUUCAUCCAGUAGGAAUAAUUGGAUGGCGUUAGAAAAGUGGAAGAAUAAAAGGAGAUUUUAAGAAAGUCAAGAUAUCAGCACAUUUCUUGAAUAUUUUGUGCAUUUUAGUGUGUGCUGCUGUCAUCUUGACAGUUCUCUCUUGAUUUGUAAGAAAAAGUUGAAGUUGCACACAUGUGGUUCAGCUGUUGAGUAACUUUUUGAUGGUCCAAAGUCUAAAGUAUUUUCAUAAACGGAGAGAACUUAUCUAGUUGUAUCAUUAUUUCUCUGACAGGCCUGGUCCUGCAUAUCUGAUAAUAACUUGUCUUCAUAAAUCGAUUUGGGAUGAUAAAGGUUUCAAUAAAAUCUGCUCUAAACUGUCAAAUGUUUUGAACCGUCACUAACACCAACAGUUAGCUGGUCUAAUCAUUACAAACAGCAGGUUUCUACCAGCUGCAGACUGUUUGUGUCUGAGGUGACGGGUCGUCUUCACCUUGGGCCAUAACCUAUGAUAAAGCAUAUUGGUGGAUCUUUAACCGGUGGACCCAGCUUCAGCGGCAGAUUCCAGAGGAUUGCGAAAGUGUGCAAAGCUCUGGACGAGGCAUUAGUGCGUGGGAAGUUGGUAUGCAUUCAUGCAAGUCCACUAUAGGCUGAUAUUCUCUCCAGGGGGCAACAGACGAAGCCUGUGCCGGGCAAAGGUUGAUUUCAGUCUGUUCUGCACUUGACAGCUACUGUCAAUCAGCUCUCUGCCAGGAGAAGCAACUACAAGAUGAGUGUCCAAGAGGAUUCGGUUAAGAGCAAUGGUGUCGCGGUCAUGGCUGAGAGCAGCUGUACUCAGAAGGCUAUGUCAGACACAGACUUAAAGAUGAACUCCACUCUGAACGGAGAAGCCAUCACUUCCGAGCUCAGCUCAAUGUCCAAGCUGGAGGAAGCCACUGAAGGACUUUCACUAGGUG